CUUUGCUGUUUUGCUAUCGUCAGAAUCAGGUCAUCUUCACUUUGUCUCUAAACCACAGGAGGACGGUAAGGUGGGUGAGAGAGCCUGCAAUCUUGUGGCCAGAAAGGAGGCUGAGUAAAUAUUGUGAUUCCUAUUAAGGAGGACUGGGCCAGGAUAAUGGAUGACAAAUCCAAGCUUCUGUAUUUUGUCACAGGUCUGGAAAAGAGAAACGUGAAGAGUGAAGAUGGCAUUCACUGGUUCAUAAAUCAAAAGACUUCUGACAUGUGUAGUCUGUGAGGGAGCCAAACUGAUCUUCCAAAUUCUCAAAACAGAAGGACUAGGCACAUGGUCACAGGAAUGGAAAUGUUAAAUUUAGUGAAUGUGUUUUUGGAAAACAACCUCAAAAUCAAGAUGAAUACGAUCUUCAAAGAACUUGAGAGAACUUUCUGGAAGUUUUGCUUCUGUAUCUUUCACUCUGCACAUCAUUGUUUAACAAGCACAUUGUCACAUUUUUAAUAAUUAGUUAAGCAUGGAACAAGUCACUCACUAACAAAGGAAUAAAAGUACAAGCAAAAAGGAAUGCACAUUACUUGAGGACAGUGGAGGGGGAUAUUUUCCAGCUACUCCAGAUUUGAAGGGUCAUUAGUCACCUUGAUGACCCUUGCAUGAAAAUAAUGAGCACACAGGCAGUAAGGAGACAUUCUAAUAAAAAUUAGGUGACAAUAGAAGGUAAGAAUUGUUCAAGAUAUAACAAAAAUCCCAAGUGAAAGCCAUAUGGAAAGUUCCUAACACAGAGACAAGAAUCUCAAAAGAAGGUGACACAUGUCUUCCAUAAGAGGCCAUUUCCAGAAAUGACACAGAAAUUAUGAAUGCCUCAUUCUUAUUUGAAAGGCCUGAAAUGCUUAGAAGACUGGGCUUUGGGUACUGUAUAAAAGUUGAAACCUUUAACUGUUAGCCAUUUAACAAUUUAAUCUUGCUUUAUUUCUAUUUUAUUGAUUGAUUAAUUGAUUGAUAGCAAGUUUCUGUAAAUCUCUUUGUGUUCAGUGUAUUUCUUUUUCAAAUUCGUUCAAGGUUAAUGUUCUCUAGAAAGAUAGGAUGGUGAAACCAUGCUAUGGUAAAUGUCACAGCUAAGUCCCUUCUCUUUAAGGCUACUGUGUCUGUAAUAUCUCUGCUGAACCCUGGCAAUCUGUCUUGAACACUACAGGCUUAUUAAAGGAUUUCUAUGUUCUA
rnacentral:lncRNA from 1 species